AGUGAACGCUGGCGGUAGGCCUAACACAUGCAAGUCGAACGGCAGCACAGUAAGAGCUUGCUCUUACGGGUGGCGAGUGGCGGACGGGUGAGGAAUACAUCGGAAUCUACUUUUUCGUGGGGGAUAACGUAGGGAAACUUACGCUAAUACCGCAUACGACCUACGGGUGAAAGCAGGGGAUCUUCGGACCUUGCGCGAUUGAAUGAGCCGAUGUCGGAUUAGCUAGUUGGCGGGGUAAAGGCCCACCAAGGCGACGAUCCGUAGCUGGUCUGCGAGGAUGAUCAGCCACACUGGAACGGAGACACGGUCCAGACUCCUACGGGAGGCAGCAGUGGGGAAUAUUGGACAAUGGGCGCAAGCCUGAUCCAGCCAUACCGCGUGGGUGAAGAAGGCCUUCGGGUUGUAAAGCCCUUUUGUUGGGAAAGAAAAGCAGCAGGUUAAUACCCCGCUGUUCUGACGGUACCCAAAGAAUAAGCACCGGCUAACUUCGUG
rnacentral:rRNA from 1 species